GACGAACGCUGGCGGCGUGCUUAACACAUGCAAGUCGGACGGGAAGGGCCUGUUUUUGUGGGGGGCGCGAGUGGAGAGCGGGUGAGUAACCCGUGAGUAAGCUGCCCAUGGCUGGGGGAUGACGUCAGGACACCGGGGGUAAUAGCGGAUAGGGGCGACUGCUGCAUGGUGGGGGUUGGAAAGUGUCGGCGGUGGGGGAGGGGCUCGCGGCUUAUCAGGUUGUGGUUGGGGGAGUGGCCGACCACGGGUUUGACGGGUAGCCGGCCUGAGAGGGUGACCGGCCACAUUGCGACGGCGAUGCGGCCCCGCCUCCUACGGCGGGCAGCAGUGGGGAAUAUUGCACCAUGGGCGGAAGCCUCAUGCCGCAACGCCGCGUGCGGGAUGUCGGCCGUCGAGUUGUCGUCCGCUUUCGCCUGUGACGAAGCGUGAGUGACGGUAAUUGGUAAAGAAGCACCGGCUAACUACGUG
rnacentral:rRNA from 1 species